ensembl:lncRNA
GUCUUCCUGUAGCUCCAAAGUAGCGGGACAACGUCGCGUCUGAGUCCGAAAUGGGUCCCGUAAUCGGACUGAGUGGUGCGGUUGGGUGCCAACGGUCUGGAGGUCUUCCCGGAGCUCCAGAGUAGCGGGACAACUUCGCGUCUGAGUCCGAAACGGGUCCCCUAAUCGGACUGAGUGGUGCGGUUGGUUGCCAACGGUCUGGAGGUCCUGAGAAUCAUCCAGGGGAGCGGGACCACUUGGCUUCUGAGGCCGAAUCGGGUCCCCUUGUCGGACUGAAUGGUGCAGUUGGUGGCCAACAGUCUGGAGGUCUUCCUGAGGCUCCAGAGGAGGGUAACUCUGUGAGUCUGAGUCCGAGAUGAGUCCCCUAAUCGGACUGAAUGGUGCAGUUUUAGUACGCCGUGGACCACUUUGGUCUGCCAUCGUCAGUCGCUACGGUCGCUACUCGCUACUGUCUGCCGUGGAAUCAAAACAAACCCUCUAGUUGAGGACGCG